rnacentral:rRNA from 1 species
AUGCCGCGACACCGCCGCUGCAGCCGGCUGCGCCGCAUCGUCGGCGGCGUCUCAGUCGGAGCUCUCCUGCUGUUAGCCGGAAGCGGAGGCCAUAACGCCUACUCGGGCCGCCCGGUCUUCUCGCUGCCCCUCGGCCUCGGCGCCCCCUUCCCGCUCGUCGCCGACAGUCCGGCGCCCCCGCCCUUCCUGUUCGCUGUCGACUUUUCGUCGUCGCCAUCCCCGCAAUCCCAAUACUCACCCUUUCGCCUCAGCGAUGACAGCCUCGCGCGGCGCCUGCUGCCCCUCCGCCUCCGCGCCAGUCAAUCGCUGCCGCCGCAGGACGCGGAUGCGGUCCUCCUUCCCGACCAGGAGGUCCUGAUCCUGGACGACGCUGAGCCUACCGGCGAUGCCGUCUGUGCCUUCCAGGGUGGGGCGUCCUCCCCGGCGAGAUCACUCGGGAGGCUGCCGGCGUCCGGGCUUCACGCAUACGUCUGCCGCCUUCCCGACCCAGCGCAGAGCUUCCAGCAGCUCCAAGCGCCGCUCUUACUCCACUCCUCCACUUCCUCGGCCGCCGCAGCUGCUCCAGAUCCCCCUUCUCCUUCUCCGGGCCGCGCAUUGCUUAACUGGACCAGCGACCCGAUAGUGUUUGACUCGGCUCUUCUGGACGGAGGCGACGUGCUCGUCUUCGCUAAGGGAAUCAGCCGCCGCCAAGGCCUUCAGUGCCUGUAUCGCUAUAGCGACGGCGCCGAUACCAUGCUGGCAACUACACCGGCAAUCACCUCAGUACAGCAAGUUACUCGCUGCCCCUCGCCGCCGACACCUGUCAAGUCAGGAGGAAGCACCAAGAUUCUUGUCACACUAGGGGUCACCGGCGAGGAUCCCAUGCCCUCCCUUGCAACCUUUCGGCAACAGCAAGCUGAAUCUUCUUCGCUGACUCCUCACAAGAGUUCAAUUUGCGCCUGCACAAUGGGACGCAACAUCUCCAAGUUUCUCAGGGAGUGGGCACUCUACCAUAGUGCGAUCGGCGUGGAUCAGUUCUUUAUCUACGACAAUGGCAGCGAGGACAACUUGGCAGGCCUAGUGGCGCAGCUCAUAUCCUCCGGGCUCAACAUCACAACCGUGCCAUGGCCUUGGACCAAGGUCCAAGAAGCUGGUCUGUCUCAUUGCGCGGCCACACAGCAAGCUUCGUGCUAA